UCCAGUUUCCAACAUUCCAGUUGUAUUUAUUUUUUAAUGUGUUGUUGUGUGCGUUGGUACAGAAAACGGCGGAGCAUUUCACUUGCCGGACAAUUUUAGCGCGUUUUUUUUUAAGCAUUCGGGAAAACAAACUGAAAACAAUUAAAGAAAAGUGAAGUAUAGACAAUUUGGCAAAAAUGAACAAUUGUUAAAUGCAAAGCCGAAAUAUGGGAAACGAAAUAUAAUUAUAUACACGCAUAUACAUACAUAUAUAUCUAUAUAUAAAUAUACAAAUAUAUUUAUAGUGCACUCGUGUGCGUCUGUGUGCGUUUCACAAAUGCCGACAAAUUGGAGCGGCAAAGUGUUAAAUAUACGAAAUGCAUUGUAACUGAUGCAACAAUUGUGGCAAAAGGCAUCAAAAUAUUUAUAAAAGACAAUAUACAUAUGUAUGUAUGUGCGGCAUACGGACAGACAGACGUGUGUGUAUGUAUGUAUAGAGACCGCCGUUUGCUGUAGCCGUAGCUUUGUGUGCGUGUGUGUGUUUGAGUGAGUACGAGUGUCUGUAUGAGCGUGCCAGCCAACCAGCCAAGCAGCCAAUGUGUGUAUGGGGCUGUGUGUGUGCGCGUAUAAUCAUGUGAAAAAUCGAUUGGAAAGCACUGGAAGUCAGUCAGUCGUAUGGUCAUUGGAACGGCCCAGCGGCAGCGGUGGCGGCGCCAAUUGUCAUUUACUAUCAAGCAAGAAGAAGAAACGUGCGCACGCACCAAAAGUAGCCACCAAAAAAAGAAAGAAAAGGAAGACAAAAAUACAGUCAACUGAUCUAAAACGAAAAUAAAGCGAUUCGCAAACACGCAACGGCAUUUUUGCACAAUAACAUUGAAUACAAAUAAGACGAAAAAGAGAAAAAUUCACGAAUAGUUGCGUCUAGGCGAGAACCGCAGUGAAAGGUGCGCAAUUUCAUUUAGCUGAGACACAAACCAAAUCAGGAAUAAGAGGAAGAGCUGGCAGCCAGGAAAAAUAGCUGAGGCAGCGUCAACGGCAGCGGUCAACAUUUAGAAGCAUAUUGCAAAUUGAUUGACAAGCAAAAAAAAAAAAAAA